rnacentral:rRNA from 1 species
AUUGAACGCUGGCGGCAGGCCUAACACAUGCAAGUCGAACGAGUGGCGGACGGGUGAGUAAUGUCUGGGAAACUGCCCGAUGGAGGGGGAUAACUACUGGAAACUGUAGCUAAUACCGCAUACCAUCGGAUGUGCCCAGAUGGGAUUCGCUAGUAGGGGGGGUAACGGCUCACCUAGGCGACGAUCCCUAGCUGGUCUGAGAGGAAGACCAGCCACACUGGAACUGAGACACGGGCCAGACUCCUACGGGAGGCAGCAGUGGGGAAUAUUGCACAAUGGGCGCAAGCCUGAUGCAGCCAUGCCGCGUGUAUGAAGAAGGCCUUCGGGUUGUAAAGUACUUUCAGCGGGGAGGCGUUACCCGCAGAAGAAGCACCGGCUAACUCCGUGCCAGCAGCCGCGGUAAUUC